UAAAUACCCCCUCCGUCCGGAAAUACUUGUCAUCAAAAUGAAUAAAAGGGGAUGUAUGACAAGUAUUUCCGGACGGAGGGGGUAUAAG
rnacentral:pre_miRNA from 1 species